GCGAGCGUAGUCUAGUGGUUAUGAUGUCUGCUUUACACGCAGAAGGUCGGGAGUUCGACCCUCCCCGCUCGUA
rnacentral:tRNA from 1 species